rnacentral:rRNA from 1 species
UCAGGACGAACGCUGGCGGCGUGCUUCAUACAUGCAAGUCGAACGAGAAAUCACCUUCGGGUGAUGGAAAGUGGCGGACGGGUGAGUAAAAUGUAGAGAAUCUGCCCUAGAGAGGGGGACAACAGAGGGAAACUUCUGCUAAUACCCCAUAUGCGCGUAGUUGAGAUACUAUUCGUGAAAACUCCGGUGCUCUAGGAUGAGUCUGCAUCUGAUUAGCUAGUUGGUGGUGUAAUGGACUACCAAGGCGACGAUCAGUAGCUGGUUUGAGAGGAUGAUCAGCCACAAUGGGACUGAGACACGGCCCAUACUCCUACGGGAGGCAGCAGUAGGGAAUUUUGCGCAAUGGGCGAAAGCCCUGACGCAGCAACGCCGCGUGACCGAUGAAGCCCUUCGGGGUGUAAAGGUCUGUCAGUGGGGACGAAACUUGACGGUACCCACAGAGGAAGCACCGGCUAACUCCGUGCCAGCCGCGGC